rnacentral:tRNA from 1 species
GCGUUCUUAGUUCAGUUUAGUAGAAUGUGGAUCUCCAAAACCCUCUGUCAUAGGUUCAAAUCCUACAGAGCGUG